UCAGGAUGAACGCUGGCGGCGUGCUUAACACAUGCAAGUCGAACGAUGAACCUCACUUGUGGGGGGAUUAGUGGCGAACGGGUGAGUAACACGUGAGUAACCUGCCCUUGACUCUGGGAUAAGCCUGGGAAACUGGGUCUAAUACCGGAUAUGACCUUCCAUCGCAUGGUGGUUGGUGGAAAGCUUUUGUGGUUUUGGAUGGACUCGCGGCCUAUCAGCUUGUUGGUGGGGUAAUGGCCUACCAAGGNGACGACGGGUAGCCGGCCUGAGAGGGUGACCGGCCACACUGGGACUGAGACACGGCCCAGACUCCUACGGGAGGCAGCAGUGGGGAAUAUUGCACAAUGGGCGCAAGCCUGAUGCAGNGACGCCGCGUGAGGGAUGACGGCCUUCGGGUUGUAAACCUCUUUCAGUAGGGAAGAAGCGAGAGUGACGGUACC
rnacentral:rRNA from 1 species